rnacentral:lncRNA from 1 species
AGCUCAUUACCACCUGGCUGCUCAGACUGCUGUGAGGUUAAUGGUGCUGCCAGCGCUGAUCUGAGGGGUCCAUGCAGGGUGGGGGCAGCUGAGAGCCUACCUGGAUAUGUGAGGGGUCUGCCUCUACAAUCCCCCCAUCCCCAGGACACCAGGAGCCCUUGAUGCUCACACAGUGAUGUGCUCUCAGCCCUCGGGCCUGGCAGGGAUGGGUUCGAUCUGCCUCCUCCGUCUCCAGCCAUUUUUGUUGGCUUAGUCGGUCGGUAGACUUUCAAAGUAAUUUCUUGCAAGGCUUUUUCUAUCUGUAUAUUUGUAUUUCAGUUUUUGUGAUCUGCGUGGGCCUCUAAAGUUCAAAGCCCAGGCCCCUCCUGCCUAGAUCUAAGAGUGGGUCUGAGCAGAUGGAAAUAUGGGCCUUCAACAGAUGCCAUCAAGGAGAUGCUGGUGACUGAGCUGCCAGUGGGAAUGAGGGCAGCAGGGGCUGCCGUUAUGGGUCAUGUGCCCUGCACCUCUGUACCUCUGUCUGCCUCCAGAACUUAGACGCCCUCCAGGUAAAAGGGCUGGGAAAGCCCCUAAAUUGUCUGCAAAAGCCCUGAGCUGACCAGAGUCUAUCCAGCAGCAGCAGAAGGAAGCUAAGCAUUAAGGUCACAAUUCUGUGCCCAAAGCGUGGCUUUGUGAUAUCAUCCAGCCCUCUCUCCACCCAGGCUGGGUGGCCAUCUCGGUGGUUAGCUCCUGCCAUUCUGCUGCAAUGGAAGCAAAGCCCCCUCCUGCUGGAAGUGUCACUUCAUUUUGGGAAUGGGGCUGAGAACAGAGGAUAGAGUGGGUGGCCAACAUGAGGACUCCAAAACUCUAAGCAAUGGUUAGACGAUCA